rnacentral:lncRNA from 1 species
AAAUCGUUUGUAACGAACUAUGAUUCAGAAAUGGUAUAUAUAUUUAUAGAAAAUCAAUUUUCCAAUCUAGGAUACAUAUUUUUAAACAAAUGAUUCUAAACUUUUCUCCCAUUAAAUAGGGCAAAUUUCCUAAUCUAUUUUUUUACAUUAAAAGCCUAUUAUAUUACUCAAACAAGAAGCCAUCUGGAAAACCACCGGAAUAUAACAACCAACAAAAAAGAAUUCAUAUGAAAAGCAUUCGCAGUCUUGGUUAAAGAACCGACAGACCAGUUUUGCGCUUGAGGAUGGUAACAAUUUUGAAGUCGUGGAACAUUUCCUUUAUAAUAGUUAACUCCUUCAAUUCCAUCGAAAAGUUUGGGCUUGCUGUUUGAUUUUGAAUCAUUAAGAUUAGAUCCUUGCAGUAUGUUCAGAAAUGUUUACAUGUUGAGUAUUGAAGCAUACUUUCCAUGGUCCACGUAAGCACUUCCAAUUCUGUAUGUGAAGAUGAAACGCACUUCAUUUGAUUCCCUAGUCCCAAAAAUUGCUAAUGUCUUAAAAAUAUUUUCACGCCCAUCCACAUCCACUAAAUUAAGCCGCAUAAGUCGAUGAACUAUCAACUAAACAUAUGCUCUGCAAGCCUAAAGCUUGAGGUAUCACUUGAUUAUGCAGUGGUUGGUUUUCCUCUAAUUCUUUUGCACUCUC